rnacentral:lncRNA from 1 species
UCGUCUGAUUUGAUUGGGGGGUUCCUAGUAAAACGUUUGUCGUUUUCUCUUUUUGCCCCCCUCCCUCUCACUUGUUCUUUUCUUAGAGAAUGGAGACGCAUCGGCGUUGCGCACUUCAUACAUAACGAUAAGAGUGUGUAAAAGAGAGAGAAGAGUAAAGACUCUCGGCCUUUUAACUCAACUUCAACUCUCCGCUUGGGUCUCCUCCUCGAUCCAAACANNNNNN